CCCACACACUCCCAGCUCUCUGAACUUCACUCUGUAGCUCCUGCCAUGAUUGUCAGGACAGAUUUGUGUGGUUAUAUAAAUGACCUAAGCCUCUCUCUCUAGAUUGCAAGCCCCCUGAAGGCAGGGUCGGCUGUGUAUACCAUUGUCUCCUAGCCACCUAGCAAGUCACAUAGUAGGCAUUUAACAUAAAACAGGUUGAUUAUACGAAUGAAGGCAUGUCUACCAUCUUCCCCUAAGAGUUAGUGGGAGAUAGACAAGCAAGCAUGUCAAUUUCUAUGUAAACGGCUAUUGAUGAAGGGCUCUGGGAAAAAGAGCUGUUCUGUUGCAAGGGAGCUUGGAUUUGGGCCAGCUCCACAAGAGAAUUGUGCUGGAAGAUGUGCUUCCAGCCUCUCUGCAGAGGGGAGGCAUCUGCAAAGCUUUAUCCUCAUUGCUUUGUACAGUACAGAUUCAGACAACCGAGCAGAACUACUUCAUCAGCUAGUAUGUCAGAGUUUGGGGCUCAAAAUUCAUUGAACACAAAUCUUCACUGUACACCUGGAAAAAGCAAGAUGUGCAUGACCUUCCCAAGGUCACAGAACUAGAAGCAUACCUGAGAAGCGUGGGUGCCCAGCUCUGGAACCUGUUGUCCCACCUCCUCAGUACUCCAAGUUCAAGGGGAGAGGCGCACUGGUAGAUUGCAAAAUCCUUUAAAGUCUUCUCUGAACUCUCCCAGGAUUUAAAAACAGUUGGCUGGAAAUAGAAAUGUGAAUGCUCAAGGAGAGGGAAGACGUUUCCCUGGGAGUUUUGCUUCGCUCAGCCUGCGACUGGAUCCUGAAGCGUGUGAAAACUGGAAGAGACUCAUCUUUCCCUGUCUUCUUCAAGCUCCCCACCCCCAUCGCCACCACCACCAGCGUUGCCGGGGCAGAGGCACUUCGGCAUCCAGAUGGGUCCUGUUUCCCUCAGGGAUGGGCCUGUUCCAACUUCAUUUCGCUGCCUCCCCUGUGGAUUGGGUAAACAUUUCCAGAAGGAUGCAGAUAAGGAAGAAGAAGAAGAAGAAAAAAAAAC
rnacentral:lncRNA from 1 species